UAUUGUUGUAGUCAGGAAAAAUACUUAAUAUAAUUUCAGUCUUUUUAAAUUUAUAGGACUUGUUUUGUGGCCUAAAAUGUGAUCUAUACUGAAGAAUGUUUUAUGUGCUGUUCAGAAGAAUUUGUACACUGCACCUGCUGGAUGGAAUGGUUCGAGGCUGAGAAACCCCAGGAUCUGCAGUUGGCCAGCUGGAGAAGCAGAAGAGCGAGUGGUAUAGUUCCAACCUGAAUCUGAAGGCUUGAGAACCAAGAAGAGCCAAGAGUGUCAGUCCCAGUUUGCGCCAGUUCUGAAGUCCAGAGAAGACUAAUGUCCCAGCUCAAAGACAGAAAAGGGGAGAGAAGAGUGUGUGGAAAAUUUUAGGACAAGAACUACAGUUUUCCACUGGACGUCAGAAGAGGCAAGAUGAGAUCUUAGACCUAGAGAGAGUAGGUUCUAUAUAGACCUUUUACAAUUUGGCUAACAUGCAGACUGGCAGUCUUGCCCAUCUCGCCUUUAUCUAUUCUUUUCUCAAGUUUUAAAGGAAAAGCAGAUAGAAAGGAAAUAAUCAGAGCAACAGGUCAUUUUUUCACAUUUACCACGGAUCCUAGAUUUUUGAAGUAGUGGGUUAACAACAAACCUCCCUUCCCAAGUGAGAUAAAGGAAUUAAAACACAGUAAUUGACUUGGUAAGCAGUUGUUAAUCCAUAAUCAUUGAAAUUAGAUAAUUUAAUCAUUUUGAUUUUCAGGAAUUACUAAAACUUUCCUUUUAGUCCCAUUAUGUGUAAUUACAGCUAUUUUAUAUAUAAAAAAUUAGACUCAUAUGUUGAUUAUACUGAUCAUGGAUUAGCUUUAAA
rnacentral:lncRNA from 10 species